UACAGAGGGGGCAAGCGUUAUUCGGAAUUAUUGGGCGUAAAGGGCGCGUAGGCGGCCUGGCAAGUGGAAGGUGAAAUCCCUCGGCUUAACCGAGGAACUGCCCUCCAAACUGCUUGGCUUGAGACCGGGAGAGGUGAGUGGAAUUCCCAGUGUAGCGGUGAAAUGCGUAGAUAUUGGGAGGAACACCAGUGGCGAAGGCGGCAUCCUGGACCGACAUUGACGCUGAGGAGCGAAAGCUAGGGGGGCAAGCGGG
rnacentral:rRNA from 1 species